rnacentral:rRNA from 1 species
GCAUCGAUGAAGAACGUAGCGAAAUGCGAUACUUGGUGUUAAUUGCAGAAUCCCGUGAACCAUCGAGUCUUUGAACGCAAGUUGCGCCCGAAGCCAUUAGGCCGAGGGCACGUCUGCCUGGGCGUCAC